AUGAACGCUAGCUACAGGCUUAACACAUGCAAGUCGAGGGGCAGCAUGGUCUUAGCUUGCUAAGGCUGAUGGCGACCGGCGCACGGGUGAGUAACACGUAUCCAACCUGCCGUCUACUCUUGGCCAGCCUUCUGAAAGGAAGAUUAAUCCAGGAUGGGAUCAUGAGUUCACAUGUCCGCAUGAUUAAAGGUAUUUUCCGGUAGACGAUGGGGAUGCGUUCCAUUAGAUAGUAGGCGGGGUAACGGCCCACCUAGUCAACGAUGGAUAGGGGUUCUGAGAGGAAGGUCCCCCACAUUGGAACUGAGACACGGUCCAAACUCCUACGGGAGGCAGCAGUGAGGAAUAUUGGUCAAUGGGCGAUGGCCUGAACCAGCCAAGUAGCGUGAAGGAUGACUGCCCUAUGGGUUGUAAACUUCUUUUAUAAAGGAAUAAAGUCGGGUAUGCAUACCCGUUUGCAUGUACUUUAUGAAUAAGGAUCGGCUAACUCCGUGCCAGCAGCCGCGGUAAUACGGAGGAUCCGAGCGUUAUCCGGAUUUAUUGGGUUUAAAGGGAGCGUAGAUGGAUGUUUAAGUCAGUUGUGAAAGUUUGCGGCUCAACCGUAAAAUUGCAGUUGAUACUGGAUGUCUUGAGUGCAGUUGAGGCAGGCGGAAUUCGUGGUGUAGCGGUGAAAUGCUUAGAUAUCACGAAGAACUCCGAUUGCGAAGGCAGCCUGCUAAGCUGCAACUGACAUUGAGGCUCGAAAGUGUGGGUAUCAAACAGGAUUAGAUACCCUGGUAGUCCACACGGUAAACGAUGAAUACUCGCUGUUUGCGAUAUACGGCAAGCGGCCAAGCGAAAGCGUUAAGUAUUCCACCUGGGGAGUACGCCGGCAACGGUGAAACUCAAAGGAAUUGACGGGGGCCCGCACAAGCGGUGGAGUAUGUGGUUUAAUUCGAAGCAACGCGAAGAACCUUACCAGGCCUUGACAUCCCUUGCAGAGGUAUAGAGAUAUAUCCGAGGUUAUCAAGGAGACAGGUGGUGCAUGGUUGUCGUCAGCUCGUGUCGUGAGAUGUUGGGUUAAGUCCCGCAACGAGCGCAACCCUUGUGAUAUGUUACUAACAUUGAGUUGAGGACUCAUAUCAGACUGCCGGUGAUAAACCGGAGGAAGGUGGGGAUGACGUCAAAUCAGCACGGCCCUUACGUCCGGGGCUACACACGUGUUACAAUGGGGGGUACAGAGGGUCGCUACCACGCGAGUGGAUGCCAAUCCCUAAAACCCCUCUCAGUUCGGACUGGAGUCUGCAACCCGACUCCACGAAGCUGGAUUCGCUAGUAAUCGCGCAUCAGCCACGGCGCGGUGAAUACGUUCCCGGGCCUUGUACACACCGCCCGUCAAGCCAUGGGAGCCGGGGGUACCUGAAGUGCGUAACCGCGAGGAUCGCCCUAGGGUAAAACUGGUGACUGGGGCU
rnacentral:rRNA from 1 species